rnacentral:lncRNA from 1 species
AAAGUUACUUAUUAAACACAAGAGAUACUGUGCCCUGGGAAAACCAUUAUAAACUUUGUCUUUGGGAGGACAGAUUUCUUAAUGAAACACAGAACCACCAUCUCAGAAAAACGAAAAUGGGCAAUCAUCACCAGAAACUACAAGUUCUUCAGCUCAAUACAACACCAAAGGGCCCUAAAAUGAGUCAUCUGAAAGAUGUCACAGAGUCAUGACAUUCUACUGGUAAAGGCUGCAGUAAAACAACAAGUAUGACGCAGACAAAGGACCAGGAGGUGAUGCCAGGCUUCUUGCUUUGGUCUGAUUUCGACUCAGAUUCUUCCUCCUACUUUCUUUAUCCUGCUACUCAUUUUUCAAAUUUGUCCUCUGGGAUGCUUUGAGAAAAAAAAAAAAGAAAGAAAGAAAGACAUCACGGUCCACUUCCAAUCUUCCCUUUUGUGUAACCACAGCAGUUUGCCCUUGGUGACUGGAAAUGCUGCUUUCAUCAGCGCCUACAUGCCGUUUGCCACCAGAAGCUCAGCCUUCUCACAUCUUUUAAAGUAACAUGUUGACAAAAUCGUUACGACCAUCAGGCCAGGGUUGUAGACCCACCUUUGGCACAUAGGAUCCAGGCACUAUGGACAAUAGGGCCAGACAACUCUUUGCGUGGGGGCCAUUCUAUGCAUUAUAGGGUAUUUAGCAGAAUCUUUGGCUUCUAUCAUUGGAUGUACCAGCAGUCUGCCUCUGUUCAUGGCCACCGAAAAUGUCUCUAGAUAGCGCCAGUUGUCUCCUAGAAGAAAUUGGUCCAGGCUGGCUGAGAACCACUGCAUUAGACACAGCUUCAUAUGAGAAGGCAAGGUGAUGGAGAAGAUAUCCCCACCAUGUCUUGACCUCUCUGGAUCUCGACUAGUAACAGCCACCCAUCCCUGCCCUUCUGGCUACUCCCUCAUGGUGACUCUGUCUUUUACAACAGUGGGAAAAGCCAACUGCUCUUGAAGCCUGGGCCUCGUCUCCUACUGGGGAUGGCAGUAGCUGAGGGGCAGCAGCGUCCCCCAGAGGCCCAUGAGUAACACCCGAUGGUGAGGCUGAGAAGGGCUCCCUGCAGAGACUCAAAAGCGAGGAUGUGGGGCUGCUGAGCUGCUAGUCUCCACGCCUAGAUGAGCAGCACCAGCCUGCAGAGACCCAGCUUGAUCUGCUGGUGUGCAGCCCACAGAAGGCUGCCACAUGGGGUGUGCCCACCCUGAGCUUGGAGCAUGACAGGUCAUGUGUUCGCUCUUCUGG